AUUUUCCACUGACGCCAAAUGCCCCUGGCUCCUCAAUCCUCAUUUCCCACCUCUCUCUCUCUCUCUCUCUCACAUCCUAAUAAGCAAGUGGUUUUACAGCACACAAGCAAGAAACCUGGUGGGCAGCCAUGCCUGGAUCUUACUUUUGCGGGUUGUGCAAAAGGAAGGGAGACGCUAAUCGCCAACCCGGAGGAGAGGAAAAACCAAUUCCAAUACAAGCAGCUGAUGACAGUGCAGUGGAAGGUGUUCCAACGUACACCUAUGAAGAACUAGCCAAAGCAACUGGAAGUUUCUCCAACAAAAACCGCCUUGGCGAGGGUGCUUCUGGUCAAGUUUAUAAGGGAAAACUUCCAAAUGAUAACAAAGUCGUUGCAAUUAAGAGGCUUAAACAUUUUUCUGAUCCGGAGAAAGAGAAAACAGCGCAAAAUCAAUUUGAGGAGGAGGCUAAAACCAUUAGCCGCACCGAUCACCAAAAUAUUGUGAAGGUGUUUGGAUACUGCAGUGAAAAAGAAGAUAGAUUGCUUGUUUAUGAGUUUGUUUCCAACAAGUCAUUGAAAUUUCAUUUGCGUAAAAGCCAGACAAUCGAUUGGCCAAGCCGAAUGAAAAUUGCUUUGGGUACAGCAGAAGGAUUGGCAUAUUUACAUAAAGGACAUGAAGGACGUCAUCCUAGAAUCAUCCAUCGAGAUAUUAAAAGUGAUAAUAUUCUUCUCAAUGAUAAAUUUGAGCCAAAGAUUGGAGAUUUUGGACUUUCCAAAGAUUUUGCAGAUUCUGCUACUCACGUUUCCACUGAUCCAAAGGGAACUCCUGCUUAUGCCCCUCCUGAAUAUUAUAUUAAAGAUGGCCAAGAAAGGAAGCUCACUGAUAAGUCUGAUGUCUUUUCCUUCGGUGUUGUGCUUCUGGAGUUAAUUACGGGGAAAUUAGCUGCUUUUGAAAAGAAACGCAAUGAACGUGUUCGCUUAGCUAUUUGGGCAAUGCCCCUACUCAAACAAAUUUUGGAUACAGACAAACAAGAAUUGGAUGCAAAGAAUUGUAAAGAUCUUUUUGAUUUGAAAUUAAAGAAAAAAUAUGAUAAAGAUGAAAUGAUUCGAAUGAUUUAUUGUGUUGCGGCUUGUGUAUAUAAACCUGCGAAGUUACGCCCACAAAUGAGCCAGGUACUUGAAGUGCUAAAAGGAAAUAUGGAGCCGAAGAAUAUAUGGGUCAGAAAUGAUAGUAAAUACCUAUACGAAGGGUCACCAUAUACUUCAUUACCUUCAUUAGCUGAGGAAACCCCUGACCCUUGAAGCCUCUAUUUGAUAUUGAAAUUCUGAAUUAACAUCGCUUUGAAAAAAAGAUUUCUAGUACUUUUUGAUAUUUUAUCAGUAGAGCCAAAAACACAAGUGACACAUCUUUAUUGUUCAAUCCUGAAAUUGAUAAGUUUUGUCAUGCCAACAAGAAAGAAAAUAGAAGAAGAAAAUAAGCUCUGAGAUCAGCUGAAGUUGAGAUGGAAAUGGCUGAAGAAAGAAUUCGAAUUGGUGAUGGUAAUGAUGCAAACAAUCAGAACAAUGCAAAUGAAGCUUAAGGGGAAGAAGUAGUUAAUGCUAAUGUACCGAGGGGCAAUAUUAUAGAUCAUGCAUUCCCUUAUUUCGAUGACUUAAGAGAAAGUAUAGCGAGACUCAGGAUUGAUGCAAAUAGUUACAAGAUGGAUUUUGGGGUGCUACAAAUAAUUCAGAACUCUCAAUUCGAGGGUCAUCCUUCAGAAAACUCACACACCCAUCUUAAGAAAUUUGCCAUGAUUUGUGACAUGCAAAAACAGCCUAGAGUAUCCAACGAUGCAGCAAGACUCAAACUAUUUCCAUUUUCUUUGAAAGAUAGAGCAUUAGACUGGCUUGAUUCUUUA